rnacentral:rRNA from 1 species
UCUAGAGCUAAUACAUGCUGAAAAUCCCGACUUCGGAAGGGAUGUGUUUAUUAGAUAAAAAACCAAUGCCCUUCGGGGCUCUUUGGUGAUUCAUGAUAACUUUACGGAUCGCAUAGCCUUGCGCUGGCGACGGUUCAUUCAAAUUUCUGCCCUAUCAACUUUCGAUGGUAAGGUAUUGGCUUACCAUGGUUUCAACGGGUAACGGGGAAUUAGGGUUCGAUUCCGGAGAGGGAGCCUGAGAAACGGCUACCACAUCCAAGGAAGGCAGCAGGCGCGCAAAUUACCCAAUCCCGACACGGGGAGGUAGUGACAAUAAAUACUGAUACAGGGCUCUUUUGGGUCUUGUAAUUGGAAUGAGUACAAUUUAAACCUCUUAACGAGGAACAAUUGGAGGGCAAGUCUGGUGCCAGCAGCCGCGGUAAUUCCAGCUCCAAUAGCGUAUAUUAAAGUUGUUGCAGUUAAAAAGCUCGUAGUUGAAACUUGGGCCUGGCUGGCGGGUCCGCCUCACCGCGUGCACUCGUCCGGCCGGGCCUUCCUUCUGAAGAACCUCAUGCCCUUCACUGGGCGUGUUGGGGAAUCAGGACUUUUACUUUGAAAAAAUUAGAGUGUUCAAAGCAGGCCUUUGCUCGAAUACGUUAGCAUGGAAUAAUAAAAUAGGGCGUGCGUUUCUAUUUUGUUGGUUUCUAGAGACGCCGCAAUGAUUAACAGGAACAGUCGGGGGCAUCAGUAUUCAGUUGUCAGAGGUGAAAUUCUUGGAUUUACUGAAGACUAACUACUGCGAAAGCAUUUGCCAAGGAUGUUUUCAUUAAUCAGUGAACGAAAGUUAGGGGAUCGAAGACGAUCAGAUACCGUCGUAGUCUUAACCGUAAACUAUGCCGACUAGGGAUCGGGCGAUGUUCUUUUUCUGACUCGCUCGGCACCUUACGAGAAAUCAAAGUUUU